rnacentral:tRNA from 1 species
CGGAGCGUAGCGCAGCCCGGUAGCGCACUAUUCUGGGGGGAUAGGGGUCCCGGGUUCGAAUCCCGGCGCUCCGACCA